GACGAACGCUGGCGGCGUGCCUAAUACAUGCAAGUAGGACGCACAGUCUAUACCGUAGCUUGCUACACCAUAGGCUGUGAGUUGCGAACGGGUGAGUAACGCGUAGGUAACCUGCCUAUUAGAGGGGGAUAACUAUUGGAAACGAUAGCUAAUACCGCAUAACAGUAUGUAACACAUGUUAGAUGCUUGAAAGAUGCAAUUGCAUCGCUAGUAGAUGGACCUGCGUUGUAUUAGCUAGUAGGUAGGGUAAUGGCCUACCUAGGCGACGAUACAUAGCCGACCCGAGAGGGGGAUCGGCCCCAGUGGGACUGAGACAAGGCCCAGACUCCUGAGGGAGGGAGGGGUGGGGAAUCUUGGGCAAUGGGGGGAACCCUAACCGAGAAACGCCGCGGGAGUGAAGAAGGUUUUCGGAUCGUAAAGCUCUGUUGUUAAGGAAAAAAGAGUGUGGGAAUGGAAAGUUCAAACUGUGACGGUACUUAACCAAAAAGGGACGGCAAACUACGU
rnacentral:rRNA from 1 species